rnacentral:rRNA from 1 species
AUUGAACGCUGGCGGCAGGCCUAACACAUGCAAGUCGAGCGGAGCGGCGGACGGGUGAGUAAUGCCUAGGAAUCUGCCUGGUAGUGGGGGAUAACGUCCGGAAACGGGCGCUAAUACCGCAUCCUCUCAGAUGAGCCUAGGUCGGAUUAGGUAGUUGGUGGGGUAAAGGCCGACCAAGGCGACGAUCCGUAACGGGUCUGAGAGGAUGAUCAGUCACACUGGAAGUGAGACACGGUCCAGCCUCCCACGGGAGGAAGCAGUGGGGAAUAUUGGAAAAUGGGCGAAAGCCUGAUCCAGCCAUGCCGCGUGUGUGAAGAAGGUCUUCGGAUUGUAAAGCUCUUUAAGUUGGGAGGCGUUACCAACAGAAUAAGCACCGGCUAACUUCGUGCCAGCAGCCGCGGUAAUUC